GGGUUGUAAAGCACUUUUAUCAGGAGCGAAAUACUACCGGCUAAUACCCGGUGGGGCUGACGGUACCUGAGGAAUAAGCACCGGCUAACUUCGUGCCAGCAGCCGCGGUAAUACGAAGGGUGCAAGCGUUAAUCGGAAUUACUGGGCGUAAAGCGUGCGUAGGCGGUCUUUUAAGUCUGCUGUGAAAUCCCCGGGCUCAACCUGGGAAUGGCAGUGGAUACUGGGAGGCUAGAGUGUGAGAGAGGAUGGUGGAAUUCCCGGUGUAGCGGUGAAAUGCGUAAGAUCGGGAGGAACAUCAGUGGCGAAGGCGGCCAUCUGGCUCAACACUGACGCUGAGGCACGAAAGCGUGGGGAGCAAACAGGAUUAGAUACCCUGGUAGUCCACGCCCUAAACGAUGCGAACUGGAUGUUGGUCUCAACUCGGAGAUCAGUGUCGAAGCUAACGCGUUAAGUUCGCCGCCUGGGGAGUACGGUCGCAAGACUGAAACUCAA
rnacentral:rRNA from 1 species